rnacentral:lncRNA from 1 species
AAACGGUAGGGCUAUCCAAACUGCCCCCUCCAGCCACAACAAGGUCGGAGCCAUGGCAGAUGCUUUUUCAGUGGUCUUCCAGCGUCAUGUCCACGAGUUUCUAAUUCUUUUCUUCCAGCCAUGGCGAUGAUUGCCUACUCAAGCAAUUCACAUCCUGCGAGGUAGGGAUACGAUCUCAACUAACAGCAAACUUGACAACACCCAAUAACUCUUUGGAACCAGA